GGUCUCCAAGGUGAAGAGUCUCUAGUCGAUAGAAUAAUGUAGGUAAGGGAAGUCGGCAAAUUAGAUCCGUAACUUCGGGAUAAGGAUUGGCUCUGAAGAUUGAGAUAGUCGGGCUUGAUUGGGAAACAAUAACAUGGUAUGUGCUCGUUCUGGGUAAAUAGAGUUUCUAUCAUUUAUGGUAGUUACUUGUUCCCGGAUAGUUUAGUUACGUAGCCAAUUGUGGAACUUUCUUGCUAAAAUUUUUAAGAAUACUAAUUGGGUUAAACCAGUUAGUUCUUAUUAAUUAUAACGAUUAUCAAUUAACAAUCAAUUCAGAACUGGCACGGACUUGGGGAAUCCGACUGUCUAAUUAAAACAAAGCAUGUGAGGCCCUAGCGGGUGUUGACACAAUGUGAUUUCUGCCCAGUGCUCUGAAUGUCAAAGUGAAGAAAUUCAAGUAAGCGCGGGUCAACGGCGGGAGUAACUAUGACUCUCUUAAGGUAGCCAAAUGCCUCGUCAUCUAAUUAGUGACGCGCAUGAAUGGAUUAACGAGAUUCCUACUGUCCCUAUACUAUCUAGCGAAACCACAGCCAAGGGAACGGGCUUGGAAUAAUUAGCGGGGAAAGAAGACCCUUUUGAGCUUGACUCUAAUCUGGCAGUGUAAGGAGACAUAAGAGGUGUAGCAUAAGUGGGAGAUAUUAGAUUCGGUUUGGUAUCGACAAUGAAAUACCACUACUCUUAUUGUUUCCUUACUUACUUGAUUAAAUGGAAACGUGUAUCAUUCCUAGCCAUUAUACGGAUAUAUUUAUUAUAUCUUAUGGUAUUGGGUUUGAUGCAAGCUUCUUGAUCAAAGUAUCACGAGUUUGUUAUAUAAUCGCAAAAAAUUCUUUAAUGAGAAAAUGCAUUAUGUAUUUUCAAUUGAAAAUUUGGUAUAACUCCAAUACUCAGGUAUGAUCCAAUUCAAGGACAUUGCCAGGUAGGGAGUUUGACUGGGGCGGUACAUCUCUCAAAUAAUAACGGAGGUGUCCCAAGGCCAGCUCAGUGCGGACAGAAACCACACAUAGAGCAAAAGGGCAAAUGCUGACUUGAUCUCGGUGUUCAGUACACACAGGGACAGCAAAAGUCGGCCUAUCGAUCCUUUUGGUUUAAAGAGUUUUAACAAGAGGUGUCAGAAAAGUUACCAUAGGGAUAACUGGCUUGUGGCGGCCAAGCGUUCAUAGCGACGUCGCUUUUUGAUCCUUCGAUGUCGGCUCUUCCUAUCAUUGUGAAGCAAAAUUCACCAAGCGUGGAUUGUUCACCCAUGCAAGGGAACGUGAGCUGGGUUUAGACCGUCGUGAGACAGGUUAGUUUUACCCUACUAAUGACAAAACGUUGUUGCGACAGCAUUCCUGCGUAGUACGAGAGGAACCGCAGGUACGGACCAAUGGCACAAUACUUGUUCGAGCGAACAGUGGUAUGACGCUACGUCCGUUGGAUUAUGCCUGAACGCCUCUAAGGUCGUAUCCGUGCUGGACUGCAAUGAUAAAUAAGGGGCAAUUUGCAUUGU
rnacentral:rRNA from 1 species